rnacentral:rRNA from 1 species
GGAGGAAAGUAGGGGAUCGCAAGACCUUGCGCUUUUGGAGCGGCCGAUGCCUGAUUAGCUUGUUGGUGAGGUAAAAGCUCACCAAGGCUUCGAUCAGUAGCUGGUCUGAGAGGACGACCAGCCACACUGGGACUGAGACACGGCCCAGACCCCUACGGGAGGCAGCAGUGGGGAAUUUUGGACAAUGGGGGCAACCCUGAUCCAGCCAUGCCGCGUGAGUGAAGAAGGCCUUCGGGUUGUAAAGCUCUUUCAGCCGGAACGAAACGGUUACGGUUAAUACCCGUGACUACUGACGGUACCGGAAGAAGAAGCACCGGCUAACUACGUGCCAGCAGCCGCGGUAAUACGUAGGGUGCGAGCGUUAAUCGGAAUUACUGGGCGUAAAGCGUGCGCAGGUGGUUUUGUAAGUCAGAUGUGAAAUCCCCGGGCUUAACCUGGGAACUGCGUUUGAAACUACAAAGCUAG